rnacentral:rRNA from 1 species
UACGGGGGGGGGGUAAGCGUUGUUCGGAAUUACUGGGCGUAAAGGGCUCGUAGGCGGCCAACUAAGUCAGACGUGAAAUCCCUCAGCUUAACUGGGGAACUGCGUCUGAUACUGGAUGGCUUGGAUUCGGGAGAGGAAUGCGGAAUUCCAGGUGUAGCGGUGAAAUGCGUAGAUAUCUGGAGGAACACCGGUGGCGAAGGCGGCAUUCUGGACCGACAUUGACGCUGAGGAGCGAAAGCCAGGGGAGCAAAGCGGG